UCCGGUAUGGUGUAAUGGCUAUCACGGUUCGCUUUCACCGAGCAAAUCAGGGUUCGAUUCCCUGUACCGGAG
rnacentral:tRNA from 1 species